rnacentral:rRNA from 1 species
UACGUAGGGGGCAAGCGUUGUCCGGAAUUACUGGGCGUAAAGAGCGUGUAGGCGGCUUUGCAAGUCCGUUGUGAAAACUCGAGGCUCAACCUCGAGACGCCGGUGGAAACUGCAAAGCUAGAGUCCGGAAGAGGAGAGUGGAAUUCCUGGUGUAGCGGUGAAAUGCGCAGAUAUCAGGAAGAACACCCGUGGCGAAGGCGGCUCUCUGGGACGGUACUGACGCUGAGGAGCGAAAGCGUGGGGAGCGAACAGG